rnacentral:rRNA from 1 species
UACGUAGGGGGCGAGCGUUGUCCGGAUUUAUUGGGCGUAAAGAGCGUGUAGGCGGCCAGGUAGGUCUGCUGUGAAAACUCGAGGCUCAACCUCGAGACGUCGGCGGAAACCAUCUGGCUAGAGUCCGGAAGAGGAGAGUGGAAUUCCUGGUGUAGCGGUGAAAUGCGCAGAUAUCAGGAAGAACACCCGUGGCGAAGGCGGUUCUCUGGGCAUUACCUGACGCUGAGGAGCGAAAGCAUGGGGAGCGAACAGG